GACGAACGCUGGCGGCGUGCUUAACACAUGCAAGUCGAACGGAAAGGCCCUGCUUGCCGGGUACUCGAGUGGCGAACGGGUGAGUAACACGUGGGUGAUCUGCCCUGCACUUCGGGUUAAGCUUGGGAAACUGGGUCUAAUACCGGAUAGGAGCCAUCCUUAGUGUGGUGGUUGGAAAGUUUUUUCGGUGUAGGAUGAGCUCGCGGCCUAUCAGCUUGUUGGUGGGGUAAUGGCCUACCAAGGCGGCGACGGGUAGCCGGCCUGAGAGGGUGUACGGACACAGUGGAACUGAGCUACGGCCCAGACUCCGGCGGGAGGCAGCAGGGGGGAAUAUUGCACAAUGGGCGCAAGCCUGAGGCAGCGAGGCCGCGUGGGGGAUGAAGGCCUUCGGGUUGUAAACUCCUUUCGCUAGGGACGAAGCGUUUUUGUGACGGUACCUAGAGAAGAAGCACCGGCUAACUACGUG
rnacentral:rRNA from 1 species